rnacentral:rRNA from 2 species
GGGUUGUGAGGUUAAGCGACUAAGCGUACACGGUGGAUGCCCUGGCAGUCAGAGGCGAUGAAGGGCGUACUAAUCUGCGAUAAGCGCCGGUAAGGUGAUAUGAACCGUUAUAACCGGCGAUACCCGAAUGGGGAAACCCAGUGUGAUUCGUCACACUAUCAUUAACUGAAUCCAUAGGUUAAUGAGGCGAACCGGGGGAACUGAAACAUCUAAGUACCCCGAGGAAAAGAAAUCAACCGAGAUUCCCCCAGUAGCGGCGAGCGAACGGGGAGGAGCCCAGAGCCUGAAUCAGCAUGUGUGUUAGUGGAAGCGUCUGGAAAGGCGCGCGAUACAGGGUGACAGCCCCGUACACAAAAGCGCAUGUGCUGUGAGCUCGAUGAGUAGGGCGGGACACGUGGUAUCCUGUCUGAAUAUGGGGGGACCAUCCUCCAAGGCUAAAUACUCCUGACUGACCGAUAGUGAACCAGUACCGUGAGGGAAAGGCGAAAAGAACCCCGGCGAGGGGAGUGAAAAAGAACCUGAAACCGUGUACGUACAAGCAGUGGGAGCACCCUUUGGG